rnacentral:rRNA from 1 species
GACGAACGCUGGCGGCGUGCUUAACACAUGCAAGUCGAACGGAAAGGCCCUGCUUUUGUGGGGUGCUCGAGUGGCGAACGGGUGAGUAACACGUGAGUAACCUGCCCUUGACUUUGGGAUAACUUCAGGAAACUGGGGCUAAUACCGGAUAGGAGCUCCUGCUGCAUGGUGGGGGUUGGAAAGUUUCGGCGGUUGGGGAUGGACUCGCGGCUUAUCAGCUUGUUGGUGGGGUAGUGGCUUACCAAGGCUUUGACGGGUAGCCGGCCUGAGAGGGUGACCGGCGACAUUGGGACUGAGAUACGGCCCAGACUGCUACGGGAGGCAGCAGUGGGGAGUAUUGUACAAUGGGAGGAAGCCUGAUGCAGCGACGCCGCGUGCGGGAUGACGGCCUUCGGGUUGUAAACCGCUUUCGCCUGUGACGAAGCGUGAGUGACGGUAAUGGGUAAAGAAGCACCGGCUAACUACGUG